ACAUCGGAUCAUCAAACAUGACCCGUUACAAAUCGGACACUAAAACCUGUUUUUACAAUAUUUGUUGACCCUUGACGCCAUCGCACCAUCCUGAAGACUUGCAUCCAGCCCCCCUGCAACCUCUGAGCAUCAGAUUUGCAUAGUGGAGGACGGAUUACCCAAUCAGAGCUGUAGCAGUCGUGAUGUGGCUCUCUCACCUUGGUGCCUGUCGUGGAAGCUCAGCUAAUUGUGAAGAAUUCGAUUUGCUCUUGGAGUGUGCCAUGAAGCUCGGCUGUACCCCCACCAACUAAACCUCGCCCGGCCCAGCAAGGGGGCCCUUAAGUGGACGCUCGCCCCCUCCUUCACGGCGUCAUGCUGCACUCCUCUCCCAAUACCCCCUCUGCUGCUCGCUGGGACCUGAUCUCUCACCAUCGGACAGGCCUAAAGAUCUCCAAAUGCUCGUCUGCGACGGGUGACCAGCGGUUCUCGUAGCCUCCUGCUAGUGCUGAGAAAAAGUCUUUAAUAUUUUAUGUGAUCACAGGCCUCUAUAAGCAAAUUUCAGUCCCCGGCAAGUUCAGCCAAAACAUGAUUAAUUUAGUGUUUAUCUCGACAUCCUUUAAAAACAAAACCCCCUCGGCCAGACGUGCAGAGCUCAGUUUGAGACUAAAUCUCUAACUCUACAUCAUAAUACAGGCCUGGGGACCAUUAAAAUUGUACUAUUAUUACACU
rnacentral:lncRNA from 1 species